rnacentral:rRNA from 1 species
AGUGAACGCUGGCGGUAGGCCUAACACAUGCAAGUCGAACGGCAGCACAGUAAGAGCUUGCUCUUACGGGUGGCGAGUGGCGGACGGGUGAGGAAUACAUCGGAAUCUACUUUUUCGUGGGGGAUAACGUAGGGAAACUUACGCUAAUACCGCAUACGACCUACGGGUGAAAGCAGGGGAUCUUCGGACCUUGCGCGAUUGAAUGAGCCGAUGUCGGAUUAGCUAGUUGGCGGGGUAAAGGCCCACCAAGGCGACGAUCCGUAGCUGGUCUGAGAGGAUGAUCAGCCACACUGGAACUGAGACACGGUCCAGACUCCUACGGGAGGCAGCAGUGGGGAAUAUUGGACAAUGGGCGCAAGCCUGAUCCAGCCAUACCGCGUGGGUGAAGAAGGCCUUCGGGCUGUAAAGCCCUUUUGUUGGGAAAGAAGAGCAGCAGGUUAAUACCCCGCUGUUCUGACGGUACCCAAAGAAUAAGCACCGGCUAACUUCGUG